ACGGGUGAGUAACACGUAAGGAACCUGCCCCAAGGAUUGGGAUAACUCCGAGAGAUCGGAGCUAAUACCGAAUAGUUCUUCAGACCGCAUGGUCUGAUGAUGAAAGGCGCUCCGGCGUCACCUUGGGAUGGCCUUGCGGUGCAUUAGCUAGUUGGUGGGGUAACGGCUCACCAAGGCGACGAUGCAUAGCCGACCUGAGAGGGUGAUCGGCCACACUGGGACUGAGACACGGCCCAGACUCCUACGGGAGGCAGCAGUAGGGAAUCUUCCACAAUGGACGAAAGUCUGAUGGAGCAACGCCGCGUGAGUGAUGAAGGUUUUCGGAUCGUAAAACUCUGUUGUAAGGGAAGAACAAGUACGAGAGGUAAUGCUCGUACCUUGACGGUACCUUGCGAGAAAGCCACGGCUAACUACGUGCCAGCAGCCGCGGUAAUACGUAGGUGGCAAGCGUUGUCCGGAAUUAUUGGGCGUAAAGCGCGCGCAGGCGGCCUUUUAAGUCUGAUGUGAAAGCCCCCGGCUCAACCGGGGAGGGUCAUUGGAAACUGGAAGGCUUGAGUACAGAAGAGAA
rnacentral:rRNA from 1 species